GGUGCGGUACUUUAAUUUAAAAGGUUAGGUUUGCAACUUAAAAUUAAGGUGUUGAUAGGCCUUUCGUGCUG
rnacentral:tRNA from 1 species